GUCCCUUCAGGAACAUCCGAUAAAAUUAGAACGAUGCAGAGAAGAUUAGCAUGGCCCUUGCUCAAGGAUAGUCAAUCUUCUGAAAGGUUUUAAUGGAUCAU
rfam:Cucumis sativus cultivar 9930 chromosome 1, whole genome shotgun sequence.